CUGAAUGACAAUGACCUUGAGCAAGGUUUUGAUAUCCUUCCCUCCCCAUUCUAGAAAACCAUGAAAUGAUACAUGCACUUAGCUUUAUGAGGUGGGUCCACACAAAGAAAGGAAGACUUCAGAUUCCUUGGGGGAACCCAUAUUUCACAAAAGAGGAGACUGAGGCAGGAGCUGGUGAAGACUUGCCAAGAGUCAUACAGUGUCUGAGCAAUACAAUGAUCCAAGACAAAUCCAAAGGACUUAUGAUGAAAAAUAAUAUCCAUCAACAGAGAAAGAAUUGAUGGAGUCUGAAUGCAAAUCAAAGGUAAUAAUUUUCCACUUUAAUUUCUUGAAUAAAUUAUUUUACAUAAGUCUUUUUUCACAAUGUGACAAAUGGAAAUAUGUAUUACAUGAUAACAUAUGUAUAAAUUAUCUCAAAUUGCUUACUGUCUUAGAAAGGGAAGAAGGGAGGAAAAAAGGAAAAGAAUUUGCAACUCAAAAUGUGAGAAAAUGGGUACUUCUGGGAUAAGAUGGCUGCAGAGUAGAAGGAAUGGUCUUCUUUCUCCUCACCACCAACCAAUAUAAAUCUCCUAAAAAGGACAAAAAUCAAAAUUAGAUGAGCAAAGAGACUCCAGCAUAGGAUGAAGCCUUGAAGGUAGGCAGAAUUUGGGCAUUUCCAUGCUAUAAGUGUGAAGUGAUCACCCCUCCCCUCAUUCCACCUACAAUGAAAUGUCAGAGCAAGUUAUGGGCAAUCUCUAGGUUCUUGGGGGAGCUAGCUGAGGAUACCAUACACUUACUCAUGAGAGCAGAGAGAUGUGGGACCCCAGGAGUGUGAGGAAUGCAGAGCUUGGAGGCAGACAUAGGGCAGAGAAGAGCUGCUCACAGUAGACAAGGUGGAGCCUGAAUAAUAGCCUCAGGGCAAAAACAUUCUGUAACUUAAUACACAGAGAGUCUGGUCCCCUUACUCAGAUUUCUGGCUGUGAAAGAAAGAAAAAACUAACACAGCAAUGGCCACCAACAUCCAAGAACUGCAAUCUACAACUACCCCCCAAAAAUAAGAAAAAGACUUUGACCUGGAUAACUUCUAUGGUGAAAAACAGCAGAUUAGACCCUAAAUGAACACUCUGGUGCAAACACCAACAACAUGGAAAUGGGUUCGAAUCAAGAACACUUGUGAUACCAAGUGGACUCACGCAUCGGCUAUGGGAUAGGUGGGGGGAGGGGGAGAAAAUGAUCUUUGUCUCUAAUGAAUAAUGCUCGGAAAUGACCAAAUAAAAUAAUGUUUAAAGGGAAAAAAAGAAAAAAGAAAAACAGCAGACUACAGAAUAGACAGCAGUGAGUGACAAACAAGCAAAUACAACCAAAUUUCUCCCCAAAAUGGAAAUUGAUCACAAAUUCUCCAGGAACUCAAAUUGGAGUUUAAGAACCAAGAAAGAAAGAUAGAAGAAAUUUAAUGAGAAAAGUGGGAUAUACUUCAAAAAGAAAGUAACAGUUUAAAAGAAAAAAUCUCCCACUUGGAAAAAGAAGAAAAGAAAUCAAAUUAAAUGAUUAGCAAAUUGGAGACCAGAAUUGACCUGCAGGAUAAACCAAGCUGAAAAAGAUAAUCAAAAGAUCAUAGCUGAAAAUUAGUCUAUAAAGACAAGAAAUGGACAAAUAGAAGCUAAUGAUCUCACAAGACAGCAAAAUUAAUAAAGCAAAGUCAAAAGGAUGACAAAAUAGAAGGAAACAUGAAACAUAUCAUUGAGAAGAUGACUAACCUGGAAAAAAGACCUAGGAGAGACAAUUUGAGAACCAUGGGUCUACCUGAAAACCUACAAAUAAACAGAAACCUUGACAUCAUAUUACAAGAAAUUUUCCAAGAAAACUGCCCUGAUAUUCUUGAACAAAAGGGCAAAAUAUACAUUGAAAGAGUCCACAGUUCACCUUCUAUAUUAAAUACUCAAAAAAUGACCCCAAGGAAAGUAAUUGCUUGAAUAAAAUAUGGCAAGAAGGCAGAAAGAGAUAAUUCAGAUAUCAAGUUGCACCAAUCAGGAUUACAUAAGAUCUGAUAGCCUCUACACCAAAGGACCACAAGGCUUAGAAUAUGAUAUUCAUAAAGGCAAGAGAAUUGGUUCUACAACCAACGAUCACUGACACAUCAAAGCUGACUAUAUCCUUCCAAGGGGAAAGUAUGAGCAUUUAACAAAAUAGAAGAUUUCCAAAUAUUUGUAAAGAAAAGAUAAGAACUAAACAGAAAAAUUAUAUCCAAAUACAAAUCUCAAGAGAAACAUGAAAAGGUAAAUAAGAAAGACAGAGAAAAAUAUUUUAAGGGCUUCAGUAAAGUCAAAUUGUUUAUAUUCGG